UACGAAGGGUGCAAGCGUUAAUCGGAAUUACUGGGCGUAAAGGGUGCGUAGGCGGUUCGUUAAGUCUGUUGUGAAAUCCCCGGGCUCAACCUGGGAAUGGCAAUGGAUACUGGCGAGCUAGAGUGUGAUAGAGGAUGGUGGAGUUCCCGGUGUAGCGGUGAAAUGCGUAGAGAUCGGGAGGAACAUCAGUGGCGAAGGCGGCCAUCUGGAUCAACACUGACGCUGAAGCACGAAAGCGUGGGGAGCGAACAGG
rnacentral:rRNA from 1 species